rnacentral:rRNA from 1 species
CCUACGGGUGGCAGCAGUAGGGAAUAUUCCACAAUGAGGGAAACCCUGAUGCAGCGACGCCGCGUGCGUGAAGAAGUAUUUCGGUAUGUAAAGCUCUAUCAGCAGGGAAGAAAGAAAUGACGGUACCUGACUAAGAAGCCCCGGCUAACUACGUGCCAGCAGCCGCCGUAAUACGUAGGGGCCAAGCGUUAUCCGGAUUUACUGGGGGUAAAGGGCGCGUAGACGGUUACGCAAGUCUGGAGUGAAAGGCUGGGGCCCAACCCCCGGACUGCUUUGGAAACUGUAUAACUGGAGUGCAGGAGAGGUAAGUGGAAUUCCUAGUGUAGCGGUGAAAUGCGUAGAUAUUAGGAGGAACACCAGUGGCGAAGGCGGCUUACUGGAUUGUAACUGACGUUGAGGAUCGAAAGCGUGGGGAGCAAACAGGAUUAGAUACCCCAGUAGUC